rnacentral:rRNA from 1 species
UGGGGAAUAUUGGACAAUGGGCGAAAGCCUGAUCCAGCCAUGCCGCGUGUGUGAAGAAGGUCUUCGGAUUGUAAAGCACUUUAAGUUGGGAGGAAGGGCAGUAAGCGAAUACCUUGCUGUUUUGACGUUACCGACAGAAUAAGCACCGGCUAACUCUGUGCCAGCAGCCGCGGUAAUACAGAGGGUGCAAGCGUUAAUCGGAAUUACUGGGCGUAAAGCGCGCGUAGGUGGUUCGUUAAGUUGAAUGUGAAAGCCCCGGGCUCAACCUGGGAACUGCAUCCAAAACUGGCGAGCUAGAGUAGGGCAGAGGGUGGUGGAAUUUCCUGUGUAGCGGUGAAAUGCGUAGAUAUAGGAAGGAACACCAGUGGCGAAGGCGACCACCUGGGCUCAUACUGACGCUGAGGUGCGAAAGCGGGGGGAGCAAACAGG